rnacentral:rRNA from 1 species
GGAUCAAGGUGCCAGUCAUGCCUUUGGUAUGUACUGACGUCAUUGAUUUCUCCUUUCUGAUGAACUGUGAUGUCAUUAAUUUGGUGUCAUGGAGAAUCAGGACUGUUACUUUGAAAAAAUUAGAGUGUUUAAAGCAAGCAUACGCUUGAAUACAUUAGCAUGGAAUAAUGAAAUAGGACGUUUGAUCCUAUUUUGUUGGUUUCUAGGAUCGACGUA